rnacentral:rRNA from 1 species
UGGGGAAUAUUGCACAAUGGGCGCAAGCCUGAUGCAGCCAUGCCGCGUGUAUGAAGAAGGCCUUCGGGUUGUAAAGUACUUUCAGCGGGGAGGAAGGGAGUAAAGUUAAUACCUUUGCUCAUUGACGUUACCCGCAGAAGAAGCACCGGCUAACUCCGUGCCAGCAGCCGCGGUAAUACGGAGGGUGCAAGCGUUAAUCGGAAUUACUGGGCGUAAAGCGCACGCAGGAGGUUUGUUAAGUCAGAUGUGAAAUCCUCGGGCUCAACCUGGGAACUGCAUCGGGUUAUGGGCAGAUUGAGUCUAGGAGAGGGGGGUAAAAUUCCAGGGGUAGCGGUGAAAUGCGGAGUAGUCUGGAGGAAUACCCGUGGCGAAGGCGGCCCCCUGGGCGAAGACUGACGCUCAGGUGGCAAAGCGUGGGGAGCAAACAGG